CUACUACUCCCUCCGUUCGGAAUUACUUGUCGCGAAAAUGUAUGUAUCUAGAUGUAUUUUAGUUCUAGAUACAUCCAUUUUCAAGACAAGUAAUUCCGAACGGAGGGAGUACCAC
rfam:Triticum aestivum genome assembly, contig: Triticum_aestivum_CS42_TGACv1_scaffold_145987_2BS